rnacentral:tRNA from 1 species
GUAAAUAUAGUUUAAGAAAAACGUUAGAUUGUGAAUCUAACAAUAUGAGCUCAAAUCUCCUUAUUUACC